AUUGAACGCUGGCGGCAUGCCUUACACAUGCAAAUCGAACGGUAACGGGCCUUCGGGUGCCGACGAGUGGCGAACGGGUGAGUAAUACAUCGGAACGUGCCCGAUCGUGGGGGAUAACGAGGCGAAAGCUUUGCUAAUACCGCAUACGAUCUACGGAAGAAAGCAGGGGACCGCAAGGCCUUGCGCGGACGGAGCGGCCGAUGGCAGAUUAGGUAGUUGGUGGGAUAAAAGCUUACCAAGCCGACGAUCUGUAGCUGGUCUGAGAGGAUGAUCAGCCACACUGGGACUGAGACACGGCCCAGACUCCUACGGGAGGCAGCAGUGGGGAAUUUUGGACAAUGGGCGCAAGCCUGAUCCAGCCAUGCCGCGUGCAGGAUGAAGGCCUUCGGGUUGUAAACUGAUUUUGUACGGAACGAAAAGCCUUCUUUUAAUACAGGAGGGUCAUGACGGUACCGGAAGAAUAAGCACCGGCUAACUACGUG
rnacentral:rRNA from 1 species